rnacentral:tRNA from 1 species
GCAGUGGUGGUUCGGUGGUAGACUUCUCGCCUUCCAUGCGGGAGACCCAGGUUCAAUUCCUGGCCAAUUCA